AGGUCUUGACAUACCGGGCAAAGCUCUAGAGAUAGAGAAAUAGUUAUGCCGGAUACAGGUGGUGCAUGGUUGUCGUCAGCUCGUGUCGUGAGAUGUGGGUUAAGUCCCGCAACGAGCGCAACCCUUGUCUUUAGUUACCAUCAUUCAGUUGGGGACUCUAAAGAGACUGCCGGUGACAAACCGGAGGAAGGUGGGGAUGACGUCAAAUCAUCAUGCCCCUUAUGACCUGGGCUACACACGUACUACAAUGGCGCAUACAACGGGAAGCGAAGUGGUGACAUGGAGCAAAUCUCAAAAAGUGCGUCUCAGUUCAGAUUGAAGUCUGCAACUCGACUUCAUGAAGAUGGAGUUGCUAGUAACCGCAGGUCAGCUAUACUGCGGUGAAUACGUUCCCGGGGCUU
rnacentral:rRNA from 1 species